GGCAGUGUUUCCCAGUGGGUAGAGCACUGAACUGGACUGGGACUCAGGAGACCUGGGUUCUAGUCCCAGCUCUGCCA
rnacentral:tRNA from 1 species